GACUCUUCAGUAGACCUUUAAAAGGAUGAGAAACUCUAAAGAGUGAUGUUAGCAAUAACAAAGAAGGAUAUUUUACUAUGAUGGCCACAGGACAGGCUUUGAUAUCUGGAGAUAUAUCACUAAAUUUCCACUGCAUUUUGGGCCCAUGACAAAAGCUUUAGUGAAACUUACAAGAAGUACAGUAGCCCGACAGCAGUUUUAGUACUUUGAAAAAGGGAAGCAGCAUACACUAAACAGUAGCCUAAGUGAAAUGUAUUUUGUCCCCAUUUCAAAGCAGAAAAAAAAUAUUUUCUGGGAGAAGAUGAAGCAUGUGAAGAUGAACUGGGUAACAGGAAACCUUGUGAGCUAGUACCAGGAGACAGAUCUAUACAACUACAAAUACCUGGAAUACGAAGGAAGAUUUACUUAGUGUGGGCCAGAGAUAUGUGCUGGUGCCUGGGAAACAGAGAAGAAGAUGCAUUGGAAGAUGUUUGUCAUCAGAGCAAGAUAUCUAACUUUUGCUGGAUUAUCUAGUAACUUAUCUCAUGAAGACCCUGCAAGGUGGGGUUGUUUCAAACCUAAGUCCCUGGAGCAAUGUAAAAAUACUAGUUACAAAGUUCCAGUACCUGAUAUGGCCUAGGAGCUACAGGCCUUUGAUGGUCUUCAGCAAAGCUUCUUUUACCAGGUAAAUAACUAGAGUCUGGGCAUC